AUACGGAGGGGGUUAGCGUUGUUCGGAAUUACUGGGCGUAAAGCGCACGUAGGCGGACUGGAAAGUUGGGGGUGAAAUCCCGGGGCUCAACCCCGGAACUGCCUCCAAAACUUCCAAUCUAGAGAUCGAGAGAGGUGAGUGGAAUUCCAAGUGUAGAGGUGAAAUUCGUAGAUAUUUGGAGGAACACCAGUGGCGAAGGCGGCUCACUGGCUUGAUACUGACGCUGAGGUGCGAAAGCGUGGGGAGCAAACAGGAUUAGAAACCCGAGUAGUCC
rnacentral:rRNA from 1 species